rnacentral:rRNA from 1 species
GACGAACGCUGGCGGCGUGCCUAAUACAUGCAAGUAGAACGCACAGUUUAUACCGUAGCUUGCUACACCAUAGACUGUGAGUUGCGAACGGGUGAGUAACGCGUAGUUAACCUGCCCGGUAGCGGGGGAUAACUAUUGGAAACGAUAGCUAAUACCGCAUAAUAUUAAUUAUUGCAUGAUAAUUAAUUGAAAGGUGCAAUUGCACCACUACCAGAUGGACCUGCGUUGUAUUAGCUAGUAGGUGUGGUAACGGCUCACCUAGGCGACGAUACAUAGCCGACCUGAGAGGGUGAUCGGCCACACUGGGACUGAGACACGGCCCAGACUCCUACGGGAGGCAGCAGUAGGGAAUCUUCGGCAAUGGACGAAAGUCUGACCGAGCAACGCCGCGUGAGUGAAGAAGGUUUUCGGAUCAUAAAGCUCUGUUGUAAGAGAAGAACGGGUGUGAGAGUGGAAAGUUCACACUGUGACGGUAUCUUACCAGAAAGGGACGGCUAACUACGUG